rnacentral:rRNA from 1 species
UACGUAGGUGGCGAGCGUUGUCCGGAUUUAUUGGGUUUAAAGGGUGCGUAGGCGGUCCUAUAAGUCAGUGGUGAGAUAUCGCAGCUCAACUGUGAGGGUGCCAUUGAUACUGUAGGACUUGAGUGAAUUUGAGGUAGGCGGAAUUGACGGUGUAGCGGUGAAAUGCUUAGAUAUCGUCAAGAACACCGAUAGUGAAGACAGCUUACCAAGCUUCAACUGACGCUGAGGCACGAAAGUGUGGGGAUCAAACAGG